CCUUCUCCUUGAGUUGGGAAUAAAAAGAUAAACCAACUUGUCUCUCCUGUCUUGCUAGCCAGUUGGCUAGGUGAGGCAAGAGUCCCCCCUCAUUAACACUGAGUCAUUUGGGUAGUUGGGUAGUAGACACAUUCUGCAUGUACGUACUUUCUUCCCACCCAGAGUUGCUUGUUCUCAUCUCUUGACUUUGUUAUAGCGAGGGCCCCAAGGCUGUUGCAGCUCCACGACCUGAUAGGUUGGUCAAUCGCUUGAAGAAUAUCACCCUGGAUGACGCCAGUGCUCCUCGCCUGAUGGUUCUUCGUCAGCCAAGGGGACCAGAUAACUCAAUGGGAUUUGGUGCAGAAAGAAAGAUCCGUCAAGCUGGUGUCAUUGACUAACCACAUCCACAAAGCACAUCAUUAAUCCACUAUGAUCAAGUUGGGGGGAUUCUGGUGAAGGGUUCUGAAUAUCUCCCUCUUCAUCCCUCCCAAAAUCUGGAAUACUUACUCUAUUGAGCUAUUACACCAGUUUUAACACCUUCCUCGUGUUAUGUUUAAAAAAAUAAAUAAAUUUAAGAAAACCAUUUUAAAAUUAUGCACAGUUGCAGCCUGGAAAACUUAAGGUGGCGCCUUAUAGUAUCAAUUUUAGGAGCUUUAUUUGGUGCAUUUAACGCAACUGGUAAUUGCAAAAUCCACUUUGCCUGUGUAAGAGAAAAAUAUAGACUGUUAACUUGUUGGCCCUAUGAAAUUCUGCACUUGAUAUUUAGUAUAUACUCUACCUUCAUUACUUCUGGCAAAAUUUCUGCCUUAGCACUCAGUUGCAUUCUUUUUCCUUUUCUGUUUAUUAUGCUUUAAUUCUGAGGACCAUAUGAGGGUAGAAUAUAUUAAAAAUUACCAAAAUUUGUAUAGGCAAACCAUUUCCUUAAGUUGAUGGCCAAAUGUUAAAAUGUUAUUUUUCAUAUCAUUUAUAAUCUUGUCACAGUCCACUUAAACGAAGUUUGGUUAGAUUUCAGUGAAAAUUAUCUUCCAGAGUAGUAUUUUUUUUUUUUCCUGGCAUGGGGGGGUAACUUUACUACAGUUAGUAUGUAUGGUGCAGAAUUUCAUGCAAAUGAGGUGUGCCAGCAGUGUGAUAAUUUAAACGUAUUUAAACAAAAACAAAAAGACGAAUGCACAAACUUGCUGCUGCUUAGAUCACUGCAGCUUAUAGGACCCAGUUUCUUUUACUGAUUUCAAAACAAAAGAAAAAAUAAUAAAAAAGUUGUGCCUGAAAUGAAUCUUGUUUUUUUUAUAAGUAGCCGCCUGGUUCCUGUGUCCUGUAAAAAUACAGGCACUUGACCCUUGGUGUAACUUCUGUUCGACUUUUUAUCACGGGAACGGAUUGGUCUGAUUUCUUGGCCCUCAUCUUGAAUUGGCCAUAUACCAGGUCCCUGGCCAGUGGACUGAAGGCUUUGUCUAAGAUGACAUGGGUCAGCUCAGGGGAUGUGGGGGAGGGUGCUUUUAUCUUCCCCGUUGUCGUUUGAGGUUUUGAUCUUCUCUGGGUAAAGAGGCCAUUUAUCUUUGUAAACACAUAACAUUUUGCUUUCUCCAGUUUUCUGUUAAUGGCGAAAGAAUGGAAGCGAAUAAAGUUUUACUGAUUUUUGAGACACUA